rnacentral:rRNA from 1 species
AACGAACGCUGGCGGCAUGCCUAACACAUGCAAGUCGAACGAGACCUUCGGGUCUACUGGCGCACGGGUGCGUAACGCGUGGGAACCUGCCCUUAGGUUCGGAAUAACUCCCCGACAGGGGUGCUAAUACCGGAUAAUGUCUUCGGACCAAAGAUUUAUCGCCUUUGGAUGGGCCCGCGUUGGAUUAGCUAGUUGGUAGGGUAAAAGCCUACCAAGGCGACGAUCCAUAGCUGGUCUGAGAGGAUGGUCAGCGACACUGGGACUGAGACACGGCCCAGACUCCUACGGGAAGCAGCAGUGGGGAAUAUUGGACAAUGGGCGAAAGCCUGAUCCAGCAAUGCCGCGUGAGUGAUGAAGGCCUUAGGGUUGUAAAGCUCUUUUACCCGGGAUGAUAAUGACAGUACCGGGAGAAUAAGCUCCGGCUAACUCCGUG